AACAGCGUCAGUUCCAAUGCAAGCACUUCUUACCUGUGCGAGGGCUUCAGGAGAAGAAGCUGAACACUGUCAGAACCGUCUCUGUUACAGGUUUUCCAAAAGAGCCAUUUUUGCUUUUUUUUUAAUUAUUUUGAAAUUUAGAAAAUGCUGUUUUCUGUCAUUAAAUGCAAAUGACUGCAUUAGCAGCAGGGGGGUUGGACUCGAUGAUGUCUGGAGUUCCCUUCCAACCCCUACAAUUCUGCGAUUCUGUGAAUAUUCUGAAAACUCUUGCAUUUCCCCUAGGUUUUUUAAUUUGGGCCAGCUGCUUGCUUUCUUUCCCACCCCUCAGUUUCUUCCUCUGCAAGACCUAGUGCACAGAGACCCCGAGAUUCCAGGUAAUUAAGUCUAAAGGUGCUAAUUUUCAGUCUCACAAUCUGCCCAACAUUGCUUUUUUUAGCUUUAUAAGGAGGAGAAGACAGUCGAUUACUAUUUUACCAUUUGAUAUUAAGGUGGUUGUAACAAUAUGGAAAGCUGCCGCCGAUGUAAUGCUGCCUUGACUUGCUGCGGGCGCAAGUUGUUUGCUCCAAGCACUGUAGCUGAUCUGCCUUCACACAGCUGGGAUGGUACUGAAGAAGCUCAACAGUUGAGUCCCAGUGGUUAUCCAGACUGUAAGCUUAUUAGCAAAACAUGUUAUCUGAAGACCAGGACUGCACUUGGAAUACAUCACCAUGUAAAUCUCAGGAGAGGAAAAGUAAGAAGAAAAGGAACCCCAUCUUUCCAGACUGUUAGAUUUGACCCUACGAGCCUGCAGAGGCAUGUUGCUGAUGGAUGCCAUGAUAGCCCAGUUAGUCAAUCAGCAUGGCAUGACCAGGUUUUCCAAAUUAUUUAUUUGUACAGAACAUUGGUAUAAAGAAGCAUUUUUUUUUUUAAUUUUACCCUAACGUGAUGACGAGGCCUUGCCCUAACUACUCCCUUUUCUUUCUCGAUUAUGUGGAACGUGUGCUGGGUCCAUGACGUUCCCUGGCUGAGCCAAGCCAAAGCCAACUGAGCUCGACUGUUUGCAGUAGGCUCUGAUGCACAGCCCGCUGGAGCUACUGGAACUCCUGCUGCCUCCAGUGGGUUCUGGAUCAGGCCGCUAAGGGUUUUUGUAUUCCUGUACAACAGCCUCAGCAUAACGGAAUCAGAACAACGGGUUUGUGGUUUACCCCGCGAUGUGAUUUUGUAACGCUGUGGGUGUACUCUGACUCAGUGGCUGCUUUCUCCUGUCACCCCCAGCCUUUAGCUCUUUACAUUGGAUUUUUCACCACCUGGGACCGAUUUCAAUCCCCUAAUUAUUAGAAGACGCUUUCGUUCCGUAGCAUCCAUAUUUUUCUUAAUGAUUUCCUCUUGUUUUGUUGUCUUUCCUUGCUGAACUCCCUUCACUCAGCCCUGGUCCUGCAUUAAAGUUGCACUGAUCCUAAUUUCCUCUUUAAACUCCAUGUAUAUAAGAAGUUUUUCUUUUUUUAUCUCACAAAAGCUCUUUUGAAAUAGAUGUUCUUUUUCAUCCCUCGUUAUUGUUCCUCCAGCAAGUCACCUCGUUCCAUUGUGUUCUGCUUUGUUCGCAUCUUAUUUUUAAUUCAUCCUCUCUCCUUGCUAUGAAUAGUCCAUGUAUCGGCGCGGGGAUGGACAGACUUCUCUACACUCACUCAUUUACGUAGACUUGCUGAUCCUGAGUGAUCCCUCAGUGAGCAGCCUUAGGUUGCACAAUGGAUGGCCUCUAAAUUACUGCAGUUUCUCGAUACCUUACGAAAACGUAGAGUGGGACGACUCGUUUUUAUUAGCUGAAAAUUCUACGAAAGAAUGUAUUUCUUUUCGUCACACGAAUAUUCCGUGUUCAAAGGAGUGAGUGGUGAGCAUUAACACCGAUGACGACGUCGCUGGUGACUGUUGCUCCAUUUGUUUUGAUUGUUACUACACCUUCAAGCAACCUAUGCCAACUUUCACUUACUCUCCUUGCACUAACAUAAAUCUGGACUGAAUACCCAGAAAUGCAUGGGAGUUUUACAGGUGCACGUGAGCAAUGAAUCAUGCCUGGCAGGAAUACACCUAUUAUUAUUCAAAAAAAAAAAAGAAAAAAAAGAAAAAAAAUCUCCCAGAAAUCUGUACCUGUUAAAGCAUAUGCCUGGAAGUAGCAUGUAUUUUCUGUGCCUUGCUAUUGUAUUUUUAAUGUGCUUUUUUUCACUUUUCUUUCUGCCAGAUUCUGGUUUUGUCACUGAAGUCAGUGAUGCACAGCCUGUCCUUAAUUACUUCCGCAUAAAACUUCACUCUUAUCAGUGAAAUGAGUUGAUUUCUUCAGCGCUUACACUGAUGUAAUUUGUACAUGGCGGAAUCUGGCCGCUGGUUGUGAUGACCCUGAGGAAUGGCUGUUCUGUGAACUCCUCUUUGUUUUUUUUGGAUACUAUUCCAGUGGUCUGAUAACGUCUCGUGGGACUUUGAGUAGCUUGCCUUAUUAUUGGGUAUGAUACAACUGUCAUUGGGAAGUGGAAUAAAAUCACUUUCACUUCAUUUCCAUUGUGGUAUGUGGGACGUUUCUUUCCUGUUUCUGUUGUCCCUCCUGCUUCAAACAGCGAUUUCCCUUUCUCAGACUUAUUGGGUGAUUUCAGAAUUAAGUCACUGGAAACCAACACGGGAUGUCUGCCCUACGUUGUGCCGUUCAACCCAUCUGUGCUGUAGCUAAAACGUGCAGAAGCUGUUUGAGGUUUGAUGGACCCAGACAAAGUGAGGUAUUCAACAUCUUCAUCCAGUAAGAAGAGGAAGUAACAUCUCACUGCAUAAACCAUCAAGGCUUUGGGUGCCAGCAGGAGCUGUGGAAGGCAAGAUGCUGUUGUCUGACUGAGAAAUGAAUGCCUUCUUUAUCUUUUGAGAGCCAUACAGACACAUGUCUGUACGUAUGACAGGCACUGGGAAUUACAUGUCCUUCAUCGUCAUCUGUCUGCAUUUGGAUUUGACCCAUUAUUACUACGCAUUGCACCUGCCAAGGCUGAUGGAGAAAAAAAAGAAAAGAGUUGUCUUGAGCAUGCUGCGAUUUUUGCUAUUUUGUGAAAUAGAGUGGGAAAAAAAAAACACCAAAAAACAGUAAGACGUAUUUCAACUCAACAUCGGUGCCCUGGUCAGGAGAACAGAGUCUUCCAUUCACGAGGCUGCUCCAGGCUUCCAGCUUUUUCUGCAGUCUUCCUGCAUGCUGAGGGCACCGGUUAAUGCCUGGGAUCCAGCUCUCUCUUCCUUCCUGCACGUAUUACAGGCAGAGACAGAUGGAAACUUGAAAUCGCUGGCCUCAGCUCCUGGAUCAGAUUAGCAUCUUUUGCUUCUUCCAGGGCAGCUGCGUUCUGCAAAACAGCAGCGUGCAUGUAUCUUGAUAUGUAACCCUAGAGCAAGGCUUCUAAAUAUACGAGGAGUUUCUUUGCUGCUGUGUGAAGGGGGUCGGCCGGGCGUUCAAACAGCACACGGUGUGCAUCUCAUCACACUGCACAGCAAAGAAAACACCACGAGGACAAUAAGAAAUGCUUGUCCCUGCGAGCAAACCUUGAACGUCAGCUCUGGCUCCUCAGCUUACGUGGUUGCAACCACAGCCCAUGAGCAUUGUGGCUCAUGGCUGUUGCUGUUGUGCCUGUAUCUAUGGGUACGUGCUCGCAGUACGAGCUGUGUUUUGCCUUCCAGCCUGGAGACAGAAUCCAUCCCAAAAUGAUGCAUCUGCUGGGCCAGUGAGCACACGUCUCCCUCUAGGCCUGUUUCCUGACCUGGACACUGACUUUGCCACUAUUUAAGAUGGAUUUUGCUCCUAAUUUGCAUCAGUAGGGAAGAGACGGUGCCACCGUCUGAGUUAGGCUUUACUUUGUACGCACUGUGCGCGUGUAGAUGCACAAGAGGAUGCAUUUGAAGUACUGCAUUCCCCAAAGCAAGUGAGAUUUAAAUGAAAGACAGGCACUGACUGGUACGGGACUAAGUUGGUAAGCCACAUCCUGCCGUGUGCAGGACAACCUGCAUGUCCACAGCUCUUCCAAGACUGAGCCCUGGGGCUCUCAUAGGCAGUACACAGGCAGGCCACCGAAGCUGUGCAGUGCCGUGUUGGAGGAGAGGUGCUGAGAAGGGAUGCUGUGUUCUGUCUACGAGUGAUUUUUAAGCACGCUCACCAUUUUCCACCUCCCAGACACGACGGCAUGUUCUGCACGCACCGCAGCGGCACGCCUUCCUUGAAAUGUGAGUGAGCCUUUACGGAGGCGGCCCAACCCGACUUCCUCUGCAGCCUGGCCAAAUGGGCUAUAUUCAGAAGUGGCCCAAAUGGAGGAGGGUGACAGGAGACGGAUCGCUCAGGCCAUAUAAAGGUGGAGGAACAAACCCGGGAGCCCAGGGUAGAAAGGAAGGUUACAGACAGAAAUUGAAUGAGGACGUGUCUGCAGUUUAUAUUUUCCUGUCCUGAGCCCCAGGAUAAAUUCUGCUGCUGCUACCAGCUGACUCACUUGUCCCUGUGGCACAGAAGCUACAAGAAGCACUUGCUCAUAUAUCCUUCAUAAUGUGAUCUGUGUCAUGUCUGAAUUUGAUCUACUAGCUCAUGACGGAGGAUGGCUCUUCUGUUUCUAUCAUGCCUUGCUGCAGGGCUGAGUCAGCUUCCACUGAGCUUGCAGCUACUUCUCUUUGGAUAACUAAGCUUGUGUCAUGCCUGAUAUCAGCGGAUUCAUCAAGGUUUUAAAAUGCACAGUCCGAGAUACUUGGCCACUACUCUUAUUUUUCAAAACAUUCUGGGUAAGAUAAGGGGAAGCUCCACUGAAAUUCAGGGAUGCACAACAGAGCAGGCUGUUGGGUGGCGGUGAACCAUGGCAGCCACAUGUCCAUGCAUCUCGACCGGGGUUCAUUGGGGCCUAAUUGCCUUUGGAUUUUAACCGACUGCAGUAGAUAAUCCAAACAGGUCAAAUGGGGUUUUGACUUAGAGCACUGGUGGCUGUAGCGUCCCUUCCUUGGGUUAGCUGAAGAAGGAUGGUAAGAGUGUAGACUGACUCAGUGGUAAAGAUGCCACUUCACUUGACUCCUCAGCCUGUACAGCACUGAGGAUGCGCUGUCAUGAUUGCCAGACAA